GUUUGAUCCUGGCUCAGAUUGAACGCUGGCGGAAUGCUUUACACAUGCAAGUCGAACGGCAGCACGGGUGCUUGCACCUGGUGGCGAGUGGCGAACGGGUGAGUAAUGCGUCGGAACGUACCGAGUAAUGGGGGAUAACGCAGCGAAAGUUGUGCUAAUACCGCAUACGCCCUGAGGGGGAAAGUGGGGGAUCGUAAGACUCACGUUAUUCGAGCGGCCGACGUCUGAUUAGCUAGUUGGUGGGGUAAAGGCCUACCAAGGCGACGAUCAGUAGCGGGUCUGAGAGGAUGAUCCGCCACACUGGGACUGAGACACGGCCCAGACUCCUACGGGAGGCAGCAGUGGGGAAUUUUGGACAAUGGGGGCAACCCUGAUCCAGCCAUUCCGCGUGAGUGAAGAAGGCCUUCGGGUUGUUAAAGCUCUUUUCAGCUGGAACGAAACGGUCCGCUCUUAACAUAGCGGGCUAAUGACGGUACCAGCAGAAGAAGCACCGGCUAACUACGUGCCAGCAGCCGCGGUAAUACGUAGGGUGCGAGCGUUUAAUCGGAAUUACUGGGCGUAAAGCGUGCGCAGGCGGUUUUGUAAGCCAGAUGUGAAAGCCCCGGGCUCAACCUGAGAAAUGGCAUUUGGGACUGCAAGGCUUGAGUGCGGCAGAGGAGACUUGGAAUUCCUGGUGUAGCAGUGGAAAUGCGUAGAUAUCAGGAGGAAUACCGAUGGCGAAGGCAGGUCUCUGGGCUGACACUGACGCUCAUGCACGAAAGCGUGGGGAGCAAACAGGAUUAGAUACCCUGGUAGUCCACGCCCUAAACGAUGUCGACUGGUUGUUGGGGGUUUGACACUCUCAGUAACGAAGCUAACGCGUGAAGUCGACCGCCUGGGGAGUACGGCCGCAAGGUUAAAACUCAAAGGAAUUGACG
rnacentral:rRNA from 1 species